UUUACCCGCACCAAGACAUCACUAACUGUAGGUGAAGUGCCACAAAUUGUGACCAAUACAUGGCGAUCCAGACCUUAGCAGGGAGAAAUCUUUAUCCUGCCAAUGCCAGCAGUAACCCAGGACUGUUUUUUAAAGUUUUGAUCGAGUCUGAAUAUCUGCAAAUGAUUAAAUGUACAUAAACCUAAGAGCAAUAUAAAGCCUGUACACCUGUGGAAAUCUCCUUACCUGUUUCACACUAUGGAAUAACUCAAAAGUCGACCAACAAAUUUUGGCUGCUUCAGCAAGAAUACAUAUAUUCAAAGUCUGUUGACUCUUAAAGCAUUGUGCAAAGGUAAAAUUUGCUAGUGAGUUAAAUAAUACAAUUUUGUAAGAGGAGUCACUAGCGAGUUAAUUACACUUUGUAAAAGGAGUUGCUAGCGAGUUAAAUAACGUAAAUUGGUAUUUUUAAGAGGAGUUUCUAGUGAGUUACAUGUAAAUAACACAAUUUUGUAAAAGGAGUUGCUAGUGAGUUAAAGGGACUGGUUCACGAUUUUUGAUGAAAAUAUUUUUCAUUUUUUAUGUUAAACAUUAAAAAUAUGCCUCAUUUAAUGUUGACAGCAAAAAUUUUGACCUUCUGAAUGGAAGAAUAAAAGAAAUAUUUUAGCCUUAAAUCUUUGUUAUGUAAACAAAGACUCGAGUCAUUUUAUGUAUACAAACAAACAAGUGAAAUAAUGAUUUUGUAAAAUAAAGCAUCUUAAUUUUGCAUAGUCACACAUUCUAACAUUUAGAUGACACAUUUCACCCAAAGAAUGCUUGAAAUAUGAAAGAUAUAAUAAACUUAGAUCGAAAUCCAUUUCUUUUGAAAAUUACAGUAAACAAUAACAUACUGCAAUCUUUGUUUACAAAACAAAUAAUAAACUCUCUAAAAUGAGCUUCUGUGAUCAUGUAUAACCUUAAUUUUUGUGUGAAAUCUUUUAAACACAUUAGACAGUAGAUUUUGAUCAUUAAAAGUGAAAA